GACGAACGCUGGCGGCGUGCCUAAUACAUGCAAGUAGAACGCACAGUUUAUACCGUAGCUUGCUACACCAUAGACUGUGAGUUGCGAACGGGUGAGUAACGCGUAGGUAACCUGCCUGGUAGCGGGGGAUAACUAUUGGAAACGAUAGCUAAUACCGCAUAAUAUUGAUUAUUGCAUGAUAAUUGAUUGAAAGAUGCUAUUGCAUCACUACCAGAUGGACCUGCGUUGUAUUAGCUAGUAGGUGAGGUAACGGCUCACCUAGGCGACGAUACAUAGCCGACCUGAGAGGGUGAUCGGCCACACUGGGACUGAGACACGGCCCAGACUCCUACGGGAGGCAGCAGUAGGGAAUCUUCGGCAAUGGACGAAAGUCUGACCGAGCAACGCCGCGUGAGUGAAGAAGGUUUUCGGAUAGUAAAGCUCGGUUGUAAGAGAAGAACGGGUGUGAGAGUGGAAAGUUCACACUGUGACGGUAUCUUACCAGAAAGGGACGGCUAACUACGUG
rnacentral:rRNA from 1 species